CGUGGGUAACCUGCCCAAGAGAUCGGGAUAACACCUGGAAACAGAUGCUAAUACCGGAUAACAACAGAUGAUGCCUAUCAACUGUUUAAAAGAUGGUUCUGCUAUCACUCUUGGAUGGACCUGCGGUGCAUUAGCUAGUUGGUAGGGUAACGGCCUACCAAGGCGAUGAUGCAUAGCCGAGUUGAGAGACUGAUCGGCCACAUUGGGACUGAAACACGGCCCAAACUCCUACGGGAGGCAGCAGCC
rnacentral:rRNA from 1 species